GUGGGGAAUAUUGCGCAAUGGGGGAAACCCUGACGCAGCGACGCCGUGUGAGGGAAGAAGGCUCUCGGGUCGUAAACCUCUGUCAGAAAGGAAGAACCUCCCAUAUCCGAACAGGGUGUGGGACUGACGGUACUUUCAAAGGAAGCACCGGCUAACUCCGUGCCAGCAGCCGCGGUAAUACGGAGGGUGCAAGCGUUAAUCGGAAUCACUGGGCGUAAAGCGCGCGUAGGCCGCUUUUUAAGUCGGACGUGAAAGCCCUCGGCUCAACCGGGGAAUGGCGUUCGAAACUGGGAGGGUUGAGUCCUGGAGAGGGUGGCGGAAUUCCGGGUGUAGGAGUGAAAUCCGUAGAUAUCCGGAGGAACACCGGUGGCGAAGGCGGCCACCUGGACAGGUACUGACGCUGAGGCGCGAAAGCGUGGGGAGCAAACAGGAUUAGAAACCCUAGUAGUCC
rnacentral:rRNA from 1 species